GACGAACGCUGGCGGCGUGCCUAAUACAUGCAAGUAGAACGCACAGUUUAUACCGUAGCUUGCUACACCAUACACUGUGAGUUGCGAACGGGUGAGUAACGCGUAGGUAACCUGCCUGGUAGCGGGGGAUAACUAUUGGAAACGAUAGCUAAUACCGCAUAAUAUUGAUUAUUGCAUGAUAAUUGAUUGAAAGAUGCUAUUGCAUCACUACCAGAUGGACCUGCGUUGUAUUAGCUAGUAGGUGAGGUAACGGCUCACCUAGGCGACGAUACAUAGCCGACCUGAGAGGGUGGUCGGCCACACUGGGACUGCGACACGGCCCAGACUCCUACGGGUGGCAGCAGUAGGGCAUCUUCGGCAAUGGACGAAAGUCUGACCGAGCAACGCCGCGUGAGUGGAGGAGGUUUUCGGAUCGUAAAGAUUUGUUGUAAGAGAAGAACGGGUGUGAGAGUGGAAAGUUCACACUGUGACGGUAUCUUACCAGAAAGGGACGGCUAACUACGUG
rnacentral:rRNA from 1 species